AACUGUAAAUCAAGGACAACAGUGGAAGCUGAGAUUCACAUCACGGAAAUUGUUCAAUCUGUGAAACAUUUUCUGGAAACAAUGAAGAAAUGCAUGAAAUGUCACAUUUUGAGAACUAAUUCCACAUUUUUGUUAAUGAAUAGUCAUCUCCUUGUAAUGGUUUAAACAAAUGACUCGGAACCCAUUCAUGUACAAAACCUCAUCAAGGCAAGCAACAGGAGCAGUCUGACAAAAUCAAGGUUGCCUCUUGGUGUUGCUCAGCCCUUCUGGCAUGCUCGGCACGCUACCGUUAAGUGAACAUUCGAGAUCAUGAGUAUGAUCUCGAAUGCUUGUCAUUUGACCAGCUGCUCAAAUGACAAGCUGGUAUGUUUUGUCAAAAAUUAUUAUUUGCUAAGCUGUUUAAAACUAUUUUGAAAAGGAGGAAGAAUUAAGAAUAACAUUUCCUUCCAGAACCCUUUUGUCGUCCUGGGUACCACUUAUUUUUUUUAAAUGUGGUCAUGCAAAAGUCCACAAAAGUCAUGUUGUCUUUCUGGCUCAUCUAUUUCCUGUUCAUAGCUGGCUGUUUGUCUGCACCUGCAUUAAACAGGUUGGUUUACUUCUUCUCUGAAAUAUGUUGUGUGUAUGUGCUUCCAAGAAAUGUUGUAUUCUAGCAUUUUGCUUUGUUUGGGUCAUGUUAAGAUAUCUGCUUUUCUUGGAGUAAAUCUUUUAAAUGUAGGCAUUGCACUUCAUCUGGGGUGAAUCAAGCUACUCACUUUUUUAAGUCAAGUGUUUGUUUUAUGUGUAUCAAGUUACUGACAAGUUUUUAUACCGAUCACUGAACCUUCAAGUUCUCUUUUGCGUCAUCACAAAACCACCAGGAGGAGAAACAAAAGGCGUGAAUGUGGGGUUUUAUUUUGGCACUAGUAUUUGUUUUUUUUUUUUCUUCAACACAUCCUGCAACACAUACACUCCUUUCUGGCAGAGAUGGUACAGUUUAGCUGUAGGCAUAAGUUGUUUUUUUCUUCAAAGAAAUGUUUUUUCUCAUAAUCAAGAUGUACAUUCUGUUCCAGAACUCAGAUUGCUUCUCCCUCACGUUCCAGCCAUCUGACUCUAAUUUCCAUUAUUAUUCACAUUAAUGACGUUUUCAAUGAAUUAAUAAAGUUUACAUUUUUUAAAAUGCUAAUAUUUAAAUGUAUACGAAACAUUUUGGAUGAUAAAUAUGGUGUUUUUGAAAUGGUUACUACGCUUCUGAUGUUCCAGGUUCAGAAACAAAACAACUGAAACAAAACAACAAGCAAAUGUUUCCGUUUGUCGGCGAUGUAUUAACAUGGAUCCAUUUUUCCAUUGUUAACUGUCUGAUACAUGAUCAUUUUACUUAGAAUUUAAGCCAAUAGUUUUGUGGUAACAGCCCUAACAGUGUAUUCUAUCUUAAAAGUAAAUAAAACUGUAGACGUAAUGGGUUGUAUUUUUGUAAUAUUCUAAACCCCUUGCUCUUCUCUUUCAUUUAUUCUCAUAUAGCAAGUCUAAAAGAAGCACACAGGAGCUACAGCUGCUCUUUGAUCCUGAUUUGCUUAAAAAGCAAAUCAGCCUUACAGAUGAUUAUGGUGAAAAACCCGUCACACCUGUUUUACCUGACUUUGAAACUCCCUUUUUUCAUGACUCAGAGGAUGAAGACCACUUGGAGUAAAACAUCCAAUAAGAAUUAAACUUAUUGUGUCAUGCAUAUUUUGAACAAAAUUACUUUCUUUUGUCGGUGAAGUCAGUUAUUGCUCACAUUUGAAACAACUUAAUUUACUUAAUUUCUCUAGUUACUUCCUAGAAAUUGUAGAAAUGAAGUCAUUGUUUAGAAAGCAGACAUUGUCUGUUUUGUUAAACAUUGAAUGACAUUGAAACAGAAAUUGAAUGAGGCUCCUCAUCAUUACAUCUCUACACUGCAAAAACACACAAUCUUACCAAGUAUUUUUGUCUAGUUUCUAACACAAAUGCCUUAGUACACUUAAAUUAAGACACAACUGACUCAAAAGUAACUUAUUAGCAAGAUAUAAAAUCUUGUUUUUAGCAAAUAAUUCCUAAAUACUGAUGAUAAAGUACUAGGCCCAUGGCAGAUUAUUUCACUUAUAACAUGGGGGAAUUGUCUUGUUAUAAGUAAAUGUAUCUGCCAAUAGAACUCUUACUUUUCAUCAAUAUUAAUGAAUUAUUUACUUAGAGCAUGUUCCUAUAUCUUGCUGAAAAGAUACAUGCAAGUUAUUUUUGUUUUAUUCCAAGUGUAAUUUGAAAUCUGCACUAGAAAUAAGACCAAAAAUACUUGGUAACAUUUGGUGAUUUUGCAGUCUAAAAUAGUCAGCGUUGUUUUUAUGUCCUUGUCUGCUUAAGGUGCUGAUCAUGGCAAUUAACGAAUGCUUAUAUAAUAACAGCAAUGGGAAAGAAUUAGGAAAUUUAUAACACAUGGGCGUAAAAAGGCAAUCUAAAUACAUUUGAACAAAGUUGAAAAAUUAAAAUGGCAUAAAAAAAACAUUAAAAACUGAAAAAAAGUGCUUGGUUUUCAUAUUUCCUUAUUAGUCAGCAUGUAUAAUUGCAAAAUAUUACAAACUGGCUUAUGACACCAGCUGUAUGUGAUAAAAACAUUCUUGUUUUUUGAAAGAGGCUAGUCUGUUGAAACCUAAGGCAUUGGGUUUGUCCUAAUUUUUUUGUUACUUAAAUCAUUAUGAAUUAUGAUGUGCAUUCAACUGGUCACAUGCUGCUUGUUUAAAUUAAUGACAGUUGUGUUAGAUAUACUCCACUGUUGAUCAAAAGUUGCAUACAUCAAAUUUUUAGAUUUUAAUAAGACAUUUAUUGUAAUUCAUAAAACCUUUUAGCUAAGAACUUUGUAAUUUUAGUGUGUGUAUAAUUGCAUUGUGUGUUUUACAGUAAAUAAACAGAACAAUCUUGUUUGAACAUCGACUUCAAUACAUUUUGUAAUUUCGUUGU